rnacentral:rRNA from 1 species
GACGAACCGUGCGAACGUUGUUCGGAAUCACUGGGCUUAAAGGGCGCGUAGGCGGGCUGACAAGUCUGGGGUGAAAUACCGCGGCUCAACCGUGGAACUGCCUUAGAUACUGUCGGGCUCGAGGGAGGUAGGGGCGUGCGGAACUGUAGGUGGAGCGGUGAAAUGCGUUGAUAUCUACAGGAACUCCGGUGGCGAAAGCGGCGCGCUGGACCGCUACUGACGCUGAGGCGCGAAAGCUAGGGGAGCAAACGGG